UACGAAGGGGGCUAGCGUUGUUCGGAAUUACUGGGCGUAAAGGGCGCGUAGGCGGUGCCUCAAGACAGGUGUGAAAUCCCCGGGCUUAACCUGGGAACUGCGCUUGUAACUGGCAAGCUAGAGUGUGGCAGAGGGGGGUGGAAUUCCACGUGUAGCAGUGAAAUGCGUAGAGAUGUGGAGGAACACCGAUGGCGAAGGCAGCCCCCUGGGCUAACACUGACGCUCAUGCGCGAAAGCGUGGGGAGCAAACAGG
rnacentral:rRNA from 1 species